CAGUCGCCGCGGUAAUACGUAGGUGGCAAGCGUUGUCCGGAAUUAUUGGGCGUAAAGCGCGCGCAGGUGGUUUAAUAAGUCUGAUGUGAAAGCCCACGGCUCAACCGUGGAGGGUCAUUGGAAACUGUUAAACUUGAGUGCAGGAGAGAAAAGUGGAAUUCCUAGUGUAGCGGUGAAAUGCGUAGAGAUUAAGAGGAACACCAGUGGCGAAGGCGGCUUUUUGGCCUGUAACUGACACUGAGGCGCGAAAGCGUGGGGAGCAAACAGGAUUAGAUACCCCUGUAGUCCCUGUCUCUUAUAC
rnacentral:rRNA from 1 species